AGAGAAAAGCGUGAAAACCAAGGACCAGGACGCCGAAGUCCGCCAGCUGGAAUAGAAACGAGUCAGGCCGGCAGAGAAAAGCGUGAAAGCCAUGGACUAAGACGCCAACGUCCGCCAAGAGGGAUAGAAACGAGUCAGGCCGGCAGAGAAAAGCGUGAAAGCCAAGGACUAAGACGCCAACGUCCGCCAACAGGGAUAGAAACGAGUCAGGCCGGCAGAGAAAAGCGUGAAAACCAAGAACUAAGACGCCAACGUCCGCCAAGAGGGAUAGAAACGAGUCAGUUUAAGAUACACAAGUAGAAGGAGAGAACAAACCUUACGAAAGAGAAUUGGAAGCAGAGAAUUAUCAAAUCACUGAUAUCCAUCUUAGAAAUGCAGUGAUGGAUCCAGUCAAACCCUGACUUUUGGCCUACUAAUCCCGUGAUCCGUAUACCAACCGUUACCACAACUGUCUACGUCUCUUCUUUCAAAAUAUGAUAUUAAAAACAAUUGAUUAAAGCGUGAUAAAAUCACAUGUAAUUUAGCAAUAAAGAUUCCUUGCAUUGAAAUCAA